CCUCCUCUGUUUUCUCUUUCACGUUUGGGAUCUCAGUUUGUUCCUUCGAGUUCGAAUUAGGGUUCACUCUUCGUCUCGCGCUCGCGCUCGGGGCGGCGAAAAGGGAUUCGAUCGCCAUGAAGCUGACGGUGAAGACGCUCAAGGGCACCCACUUCGAAAUCCGAGUUCAGCCCAAUGAUACGAUUAUAGCUGUGAAGAAGAACAUCGAGCAAGUACAAGGGAAAGAUAACUAUCCAUGGGGACAGCAGUUGCUAAUUCACAAUGGAAAAGUUUUGAAGGAUGAAACCACACUUGAAGAGAACAAAGUUCGGGAAGAUGGUUUUCUUGUUGUCAUGCUUAGCAAGAGUAAAGCUGCAAGCACCAGUGGAGCUUCCCCUGCUCAGCCAUCGGCAACAUCUGUAGUCCAGCACCCUGCACUUAAAGAUGCUCCCUCACAAGCUCCAUCACAAGUGCCAUCAGAAGUUCCAGCACAACCCAUCGUGGCAGAUAAUUCAUCAAAUGCACCAGCUAGAUCUCAAGGCCCAAAUGCAGAUCUGUCUGAUGCCCAAGCUGCAUCAAAUUUAGUUGAAGGGAGUAAUAUGGAACAAACGAUUGACCAAUUGUUGGAGAUGGGCGGUGGCAAUUGGGACAGAGAGACAAUUUUGCGUGCACUUCGUGCUGCGUACAACAAUCCUGAAAGAGCUGUGGAAUACCUAUAUUCUGGCAUUCCAAUAACAGCUGAAAUUGCACUUCCGGGUGAUCAUUUCCCUUCAUCUGUGGUAUCUUCUCAAGGUGCUGAUACAGCUGAUGUGGCUGCUGCAGGGCCUCUCUUUGGAGUACCAAAUUCCUCUCCUUUGAACAUGUUCCCUCAGGGCAAUACUAAUUCUGAAGGUGGUGCUGGAGGUGGAUCUCUUGAUUUCCUCAGAAAUAACCAACAAUUCUUAGAAUUUAGAGCAAUGGUUCAUGCAAAUCCACAAAUAUUGCAGCCAAUGCUUCAGGAAUUAAGCAAACAAAACCCUCAACUGUUGAGAUUAAUACAGGAGCAUCAUGAAGAGUUUCUUCAGUUAAUGAAUGAACCUAUUGAAGGUCUUGAAGGGGAUCUGUUUGAUCAACCUGAUCAAGAUGAGAUGCCUCACACCAUAAGUGUGACGCCCGAAGAACAGGCGGCCAUGGAACGACUUGAAGCAUUGGGUUUUGACCGAGCACGAGUUAUCGAAGCUUUCCUAGCCUGCGACAGGAAUGAGGAAUUGGCAGCAAACUAUUUACUUGAGCAUUAUGGAGAAGAAGAUUAAGGUACUUUGAGAGUUGUUUUCCCAUUUGAUCAAUGGGCUAAAUGAUUUCAUUCUCAUCUGUGGACUCACAUUAUACACAUAUCGUCACUCAAAGGAAAACAACCCAAGGGUUUUGGUAUGUGCCAAGAUAAUGAUGAUCACAUGGAUUUUUCUGCUAAUUCACUCCCAUGGAAUUUCAAAACAACCUCCAUCUGACUAUGCUCAUGCCGCUUCGCUUGAUGAUGAAUUAAUUGAUUGCUUGUUAGAGAAAUUUGUACUUUGAAGGUGAUAGAAAUUGUAUCAAGUAGGGUAAGUGGCCACCUUAUUCAUAGAUAUUCUUUCCAAAAAAUUUAACCAGUGGCGAUAAACUGAUGUUCAUCUUCCGCGGAUAAUGUAAACUUCCCUUCAUUCUUCACCUGCA